rnacentral:rRNA from 1 species
ACGGGGCCCGCACAAGCGGAGGAACAUGUGGUUUAAUUUCGAUGAUACGCGAGGAACCUUACCUGGGCUUAAAUGUAGAUUGCAUGAGGUGGAAACACUUCUUCCCUUCGGGGCUAUUUACAAGGUGCUGCAUGGUUGUCGUCAGCUCGUGCCGUGAGGUGUCGGGUUAAGUCCCAUAACGAGCGCAACCCUUACCGUUAGUUGCCAUCGGGUCAAGCCGGGGACUCUAGCGGGACUGCCACCGUAAGGUGAGAGGAAGGUGGGGAUGACGUCAAAUCAGCACGGCCCUUAUGUCCAGGGCUACACACGUGUUACAAUGGCCGGUACAGAGGGCAGCUACCUGGUGACAGGAUGCUAAUCCCGAAAGCCGGUCCCAGUUCGGAUUGGAGUCUGCAACCCGACUCCAUGAAGUUGGAUUCGCUAGUAAUCGCGCAUCAGCCAUGGCGCGGUGAAUACGUUCCCGGGCCUU